AAUCGGCGUACAACACCGGGGACGUGUCCCCUACCGUGGUGCCGAGGGAAGCAAGCCACAGCAAAAGCGCACAGGUGCGGAAAGUUGAAAAAUCACGCGUCGGGUGGAGUUUGGUAGGCUCAAGUCAGCUCGAAGAAGUCAGACCCG
ncrna:unclassified sequences RT-3 RNA